UUAGCCCUAAACCACAAUAGUUAAAACAACAAAACUACUCGCCAGAAUACUACAAGCAACAGCUUGAAACUCAAAGGACUUGGCGGUGCUUCAUACCCUCCUAGAGGAGCCUGUCCUAUAAUCGAUAAACCCCGAUCCACCCCACCCUCUCUCGCUCAGCCUAUAUACCGCCAUCUUCAGCGAACCCUGAUAAAGGUCACAGAGUGAGCAUAAAUGCCCCUUUUUCGCAAAAACGUUAGGUCAAGGUGUAGCUAAUGAGAUGGUAAAGGAUGGGCUACAUUUUCUACCUCAGAAAACCCUACGAUAACUCUUAUGAAACCUAAGAGUCCAAGGAGGAUUUAGCAGUAAAUUAAGAAUAGAGUGCUUAAUUGAACUAGGCCAUAAAGCACGC
rnacentral:rRNA from 1 species